CCUGGUGUGUAGCCAGAAGUUUUUUAUCAGUUCAUAAAACAUAGUUCACCAGGCUGACCUCUGAACAUGUAUUUGCGCAUGCUUUGUUUGAGGACCUGGUAUAACUUGCUUCCAGGAUGAGCCACAAAGGAGUGGUACAUUGUGCAACUAAAAACAAGCGACAGAAAGACACCUGCUCCAACAGAGUGGCUCAUGACAGCCUCGCCUGCUUGGCUUUCGGAUAUCAAGAGAGAACAAGAAAUUCUUCCUUUGUGGAAUCUGAAUCUAGAAAACAGCCUGCGUACUUCUUUCAGUCUAACCUCAUGCUUUCUGUGAGCAGCUGUGUAGAUGGAAGUGCCGUUCUCUGGCUUUGAGCUCACCUUCAUCAUCUUGGCCUUCGUCAUCUUCUCCCUCUUCAGUCUGGCCUCAGUCUGCAUCCAGCCGGAAGAACUCCCCACGGAAGACACUGCGUAUAAAGGGAAGAAGACACAUCAACAAGUUAAGAAGAAGCAGAGAGAGAUCUCCAAACAGGCUCUACAGAAGCCUUAGAGCCACCAAUUGAAAUCAGCUUAAACAGGAACUGAACAUAAUCAGUGCCUUGUCUUUUGGCGUACUGCAGAUGAUCCACUGAAAAUGGAUAAAACUCUUAGAAAUGUUUGUUGGAUUUCCCCAGCAUGUCUUCAACAGGGCUUUUCAAUACUUUGUACAUGACAUAGACUUUUCCACUUUUCUGUUUUUCAAGCACAUACCAAACAUACAAAAAUUCAGGUGUAACCUUCAGAACACCUGGAGAAAUGCUGAUUGAGAUCACUUUAUAAUGUUAGGAGAAAGUCUGGCUCCUCGGAUGUGAAAUGAGAAAAAAAAGAAAAAGAUAAAACUACUGGAAAAGCUGUGAUCAGUUAUAUUCAAAAACACAUCAUGCAGUCUAAGAUCAUAUACUGCAAAAUGUAUCUAAACAUAAGAAAAUGUUUAUUUUGUGUGUUGGGUCUUCAUUUGAGUAAAAUAUAUAUCCAGUCCCUUUAUCUUAAAACAAAGAGCAGGUAAGGAAAAUUGUCUACCAAUGAAACCACGAUUUUUUUCCAUUAAAAUAAGCUAUUUAUUUAUAUGUAAAUAAGAUAAUGGAUUUGAUUUAUUUGUAUUUCUAAUUUUAAGUUGAAAAACUUUUUUUCAUUAGUAUAUCAUUUUACCCACCUAAUCAAACCAAGUGCAAAAACGUACAUUUUAAUGAAAAUGUUCUUUUGGUUCCCUUUUGCAGUGUAUAUGUUUGCAGAGGUUCUUGUUCAUUUACAACUUUACUUUUCCUUGUUUUUCUGACAUUUAUGACUCUAAUCUUCUUAAACUGUCUUAAAGGAAAACCAACAUAAAUGAUCAGCUCCUCUGAAAAAGGUUCUGGGUGAUAGUUUAAUAGGAUAAAAACAGUUUAAACAGUUUUUAUUACUUCAGUUUUAAGGGACAUAUUAUUGGAGAGCUAUAGAGAUCCAUUAAGAGCCCUUGAAAAAUUGUCUGGAGAAGCCAAAUGUCUGAGUUUGGAUUUAAAAAAACGAGUGACUUUUGGCCCCUUGAGCCCAUAUGUGUUGUCCUGCUGGUGAUCAAACUUUGCUCCCUGUUGAGUUUGCCCUUUGACCUUUGAGCUCUCCAUCAUUCCUCCAGAGUUAGGCGUCUAGCUGCCGACAGAGCCAGGAGGAGAGGCGCUGUGACAGAGACAGAGCUAAUUAUGCUGUUGUUUUGAAACUGCAGGGAGAAAAUUCAUCUCCAGCUCAGCAUAGGUGUUUUUCGUGAUUCUGUUUGUGUGAAAUCUGCUGUGGUCCAAACUUUAGCCGUUGUGUAUUGGGAGUUUGCUGCUGUUGAUGUGCAUAAAGCUUCAUUGGGCUCUUCACUGGGCAAUUAGAGAUAAAGGGUUUUAAGAGUAAUUAAGCCCUAGCAAGCUGCAGGCCCUCAUUAACACUGACGACCUUGUGGCAUGACAACAGAAGCUGCUAUCAAUCUAACGAUGGACAACGAACAGACCCAUCAGACCACAAUCGACACUCGCACACAGACUGAGGGCCGACACCCAAAAGCACCCAGACAUUAUGGAACAUCAGUUCUUACAAUCAUCAUACCAUCAGAACUGCUACUUCACUUUCUGUGAAAAUAAAAUGUAAAAAUGGCAGCUAUACAGAAAUAUUCUAUGGUGUAACUUCUCUAGAUUUCAAUCCCACCUCAUCUCUAUCAGCACUGACUGCUGUGGUUCAGGGAAAUUGUGCUUUUCUCAAUAAUGGAGCUUAAUAUGCUGCCAUCCCUAUGUUAACUUGAAGAAGCAAACAUAAAAGCUUAAAGAUCUAAAAAAAAAAAAUAAAAAUAAAAAUAAAAACUUCCAGAGCGGUUGAGCUGACAUUCAGUUAGACACAGUUCUCUGGAAGGUUUUCUAAUUUAAUCCAUUUUCAUCCACAAUCUUUUUUACAUAUAUUUUAUGUGAUAAACACACAACUUAUGGCAUAGAUUGAAAAAGAAUGAAUUGUGUUUUGUUUUGUGUUUUUUUAUUUCAAAUAAAGACCUGUAAAGCAACAUAUAGGGCAUAGGGCUUUGAAUCCUG